UACACAUGCAAGUCGAGCGGUAACAGACAUUUUGAUUUUGCUUGCAAAAUCUCGUGCUGACGAGCGGCGAACGGGUGAGUAACGCGUAGGAAUCUACCUAGUAGAAGGGGAUAGCCCGAGGAAACUCGGAUUAAUACCGUAUACGUCCUUAGGGAGAAAGAGGGCUUAGCUUUGAUGCUCUCGCUAUUAGAUGAGCCUGCGUAAGAUUAGCUUGUUGGUGAGGUAAAGGCUCACCAAGGCGACGAUCUUUAGCUGGUCUGAGAGGACGAUCAGCCACAUUGGGACUGAGACACGGCCCAGACUCCUACGGGAGGCAGCAGUGGGGAAUAUUGGACAAUGGGCGCAAGCCUGAUCCAGCCAUACCGCGUGUGUGAAGAAGGCCUUCGGGUUGUAAAGCACUUUAAGUAAGGAAGAAAAGAGUAUUGUUAAUACCAAUACUCCGUGACAUUACUUACAGAAUAAGGACCGGCUAAUUCCGUGCCAGCAGCCGCGGUAAUACGGAAGGUCCAAGCGUUAAUCGGAAUUACUGGGCGUAAAGCGCGCGUANGUGGUUUGGUUAGUUGGGUGUGAAAGC
rnacentral:rRNA from 1 species